GUGGAAGUCAACUGGAAAUGAUACUAGUACUAAAGCCACUGGAAGCAUCCAGAUGGAGCUCUUAUGUCCAUUCGAAUAUCCUCUAAUUGGUUGUGAACCAGCAUCAACUUCCAGACACGUGCGUGAACAUGUCAUCAGGUUAUUCCUGCCCCAGACUUGGAGACUCCUCACUGAAGACCGGAACACUGUGGAGCAGCACACAGCCAUCUCUGCUAUGCUUUGUCUGAAUUCCUGAUGUACACAUCUCUGAAGAUAGUUGGUUGAUCAAAAAGCCUUCAAUGGAAUAGAUUAAUGGCCCAUUCUUGCUUGUCACAAGAAUACAGUUGUGUAAAUCAUCACAGCUCCGGAGGCCAGAAGUCUGAAGUCAAGGUGUUGGCAAGGCCA